CUUCUCUCUUGAGCUCUUCUCCCUCAAACUCUCACGCGCUCUUUGCGCUCGCUCAUAGAGUUCCGAGUAAACAGACCUCCGUCCCGUUCUCCUCACGGUGAUAUCAGAGAUGGCAAUUAAAGAGAACGACGAAUGCAUAGACUUCACACUCGUUAAUCAGUCGUUGUUCGACUCACACGCGGAUUUUCGAGGCGCUCUCUCACCCUCUGCGCGCGCUGUGACUCUCAUGCCGAGCGCGCGGGACAAGUUUUUUGCUCUCGGAUGGGGCUUUGCUUCGGAGAGUAUCUUACCAGGAUGCUAAGUUGGAAAUUGAGGAUUCUGACGCCUACUAUGAGCCUCUCGCUCCUCCUCUCGGGGUGUAGUCAUCGAAAGAAAGGCAAGCUGGGUUACAGCAGCUCAGCCUGAAUCGACACACACACACACACACACACACACACACACACACUCUCUCUCUCUCUCUCUCUCUCUCUCUCUACAUUCAUACCCUGGUACUCACUAACAAUCUUCCCCGCUAUCCCCCUAUUUUUGUCUCUAACAAGCCUCAAUGCUUUAGAUUGAGCUGCUUCAACCCCUGGAUGGCGGUCUCAUGCGAGCCAGUACAUCAACUUCAACUUUCCUCAUUUUCUAAAUACACGAAGCCUUCAUUUUCACGCAUGAUUAAUAACAAAUGGACUGUUAUCUUCUUGGGGACGGCUGGCCAAAUACGACAGGAGACACUACAAGAUUCGAUAAGCAGCCUGUUUAGCGAUAGUGGAGGGGUGAAUGAAAGAAAGCUUGGAAAGAGAGAUGCAGCAGGGACUAGUCACACUCUACAUGCGCUGCAUGGCAUAAAGGUCCUGAUGGAGAGAAAGAGAGGGAGUGGGAGGGAGACAGAGAGGACGAGGGAAAGCCCAUAAUGCUGUAAUGCCCAUUAGCGAGAUUUCACGCACUCUCUCUGAUCUGACUCACUGACAGAAGCCUCUAAGAGACUAUAAUGAGAAUGUUUGGCAGGAUUCUGGAUGUUUGUGUGUGUGUGUGUGUGUGUGUGUGUGUGUGUGCGUGUGUGUGUGUGUGUGUGUGUGUGUCUUUUAUGUGGGUAGUGUGUAUCAGUGUCUAGGUGAAUGCAGUUUUUAUGUGCUCUGCUCAUCAGCUGUGACAGAAAAUAAUAAUAUUUGAUAUGAUGUAUGCACCCACACAUAUCCUCACACAUUAUUAUUCUUUGCCAAAAAAAAAAAAAAAAGAACAGUAAAUUCUUGCUUGGCAUUGUACAUUUUUCAAAAGUCAAAUGCACUGAGCAUUAAUUUUAGGGAUGUAUAUUAAAAUUAUGUCAAUUACUUUUGUUUUAGCCAAUAAAAAGCAAAUAUUAAAAUUGCA
ensembl:lncRNA